rnacentral:rRNA from 1 species
UACAGAGGGUGCGAGCGUUGUCCGGAAUUACUGGGCGUAAAGGGCUCGUAGGCGGCCAACUAAGUCGGACGUGAAAUCCCCAGGCUCAACCUGGGAACUGCGUCUGAUACUGGAUGGCUUGAAUCCGGGAGAGGGAUGCGGAAUUCCAGGUGUAGCGGUGAAAUGCGUAGAUAUCUGGAGGAACACCGGUGGCGAAGGCGGCAUCCUGGACCGGCAUUGACGCUGAUGAGCGAAAGCCAGGGGAGCAAACGGG